CGGGGUAGAGUAAUGCGUGACCAACCUGCCCCAUGCUCCAGAAUAGCUCUUGGAAACGGGUGGUAAUGCUGGAUGCUCCAACUUGACGCAUGUCUUGUUGGGAAAGUGUUUAGUGGCAUGGGAUGGGGUCGCGUCCUAUCAGCUUGUAGGCGGGGUAAUGGCCCACCUAGGCUUCGACGGGUAGCCGGCCUGAGAGGGCGGACGGCCACAUUGGGCUGAGAUACGGCCCAGACUCCUACGGGAGGCAGCAGCC
rnacentral:rRNA from 1 species